rnacentral:rRNA from 1 species
ACAUUUCUUUUAGGUCUUUUUUAAAAGUAAAGUCUGCCCACUGUUAAACAUGAAGGGCCGCGGUAUUUUGACCGUGCAAAGGUAGCAUAAUCAUUAGUCUUUUAAUUGGGGAAUGGUAUGAAUGGCUUAAUGAUUUUUUUCUUUUAUUAUUAUUUAUAUUACAAUUUUGAUUUUAAGUGAAAAUACUUAGAUAUUUUAAUUAGACGAUAAGACCCUAUAGAAUUUUAUUUUUGUGUUAUACUUUUAUAGCUUUAAAGUUUAAAUGGGGCAUUUUUUGAAUAUAAUUAAUUUCUUUUAAAAUUAUUUAAAAAUAUCUUAAUUAAAAGAUUUUAAAAAAAUUACCUUAGGGAUAACAGCGUAAUUUUUUUUGAGAGUUCAUAUCGACAAAUUAGGUUGCGACCUCGAUGUUGAAUUAAAAUACCUGAAUGGAGCAGAAUUUAUUUAAGGUAGUCUGUUCGACUAUAAAAUUUUUACAUGAUUUGAGU